GGAGGGAGGGGGGGGAGGGAAAGCAGAGGCAGGCAGGCAGAAACAAAAUCUCUCAUCUCUCGUCUCUCGUCCCUCUCUCUCGUCCCUCUCUCUCGUCUCUCUCUCUCUCUCGUCUCUCUCUCUCGUCUCUCUCUCUCUCUCUCUCUC
rnacentral:sRNA from 1 species